UCCUGGCCUCAAUAAAUAGUCAUCACAAUAGUAGUAACAAUGAUGGAAGGGGAAGGAGAAAUGUGUAAAUAAACAUCAAACUGGCCUUGCUCAGCCCAAAAACUGAUGCUAGCUGGAGGAAAGGAUGCUCCUGGCAUCCCUCCCAAGUAUGUAGGGUGCAGUAAUAAUUAUCACUAGUACUAGAUUCACGGCCCCAUAGAAGCCUUUUUGGGCUGUGAAGCAGAGAACAGGCAGUCUACAGGAUUAAAGAAAUGGAGCUACGCUAAUUAGAGAAACUAUGUUCAAGCUCAAUUCUGUGGCUCCCCUUGAAAAAUACUCAGCAUGGUUCUGAAACAGAGGAGCUUAGAUGGGUGCAUGGUGUGGUCUAGAAGAGGUUCAAGACAAGCAUCCAGAAUGGAGAGGAAGAGAGGGCUGGCCAGGAGCUGAUGGCCAGGUUCUGGUGAGGUUCUGGUGGAGACAGCCAACCCUGCAGUUACACUAAGUAGCAUGGAGGGGGAGGUAUGCCAAGGUGUCAUUGGGUACAUGGUGGUUUUGCAUCACAGUAUACUCACAAGGUCCACACAAAAACCUUCCCACAGGUUAGUGCCUACCUGUUGUUCUCUUAGUAGCAGUUGGCAGGCCCACAGUUUAGUUUCUAGUACAUGCCAUCCAAGCAGUCCCUGUGGGUUUGGAUUACUCCAUCCAACCUCAGUUGGUUGUCCUGUCAAUGACACAUCUCAGCAGUGCAGGAAUACUGCCUGAGAGUCCUCCCUGAGUAAAUGUCAAGAUAUCUACUCAAUGCUAACACUCAUUUCCACCAACAGAUAUAUAGGCAAUUACUGUUACAGGAAGGCAGAGCAAUUUAAAGAAUAGUUGACAGACUUUAACAGUGCAGAAAAUGGAAGAGGGGAAUAAGUUAAUGCCUUUAAAAGCCAUUACAAUGAAAGAGGCUAUGAAGACUGAGCCACAGAAAGGUGGAGCUGACUGGAUCACUUCCUUUGGUCAAUAAUAAGUAAAUGAUUUUGUCAUUAAGAAAAGAACUUCUUGCAAAGGAAGAGCUUAAUCCCAGGAAAAGGAAAGAGUAAAAAAAGGUUACAUAAAGUGAAUCAGGGAUAAUCUCUAUCAAUUACCCAGAGCCUUUCCUGUUGGGAAAGUCUCAAAAGAACAGGAAAAGAGCUGGGUCAUGAUCCAGGGUGCUUAUGCUUUCUUUUACCAUCCAGGAGAUUGGCAGUCUGGUUGUGGUUAAGAAAACAAUGGUAAAACUGUAAGAGCCACAUAACCCUUCAAAGCGGGCAGGUAACUGCAGAUUAUGCCAACACUGGCUCAAGAGGCACCCAAGGUAGGCAUGACAGCCUAGCUGCCAUCACUUUAAGGGUAAACAAAUAAAAACACAUACCCUUCAGAAAGAUAGCUAGGAUAUGUUGUGGGGAGUCAGAUCCACAAAGACCACAAACUAUUCCCUUUGAAGGUAAGAAUUUUGGCCAGAUGGUCCCACAUGGAAUAACCAAUCCAACCUGAUCUGAUUGCAGAGCUUAUGUGGCACACUUGAGGACACUAAGCCUGCUUCUGCUGUCCUGGGACAUAGGCAGCACCCUAAGGAGACUCAGUCUCCUUCUGCCAGCCCAGGAACAAGUGCAGAACCCUGGAGCUAUGCCUGCUUCUUAAGUCCUGGAAGCCAGUUAAGAGUCACUACAGUCUUUGUGCAAAGGGACAAAGGGGAUCUCUCAGGCAACAAUGAGCCUAACCAUGGUCCAUCUGAAAAUAUCUCUUAGUUCUGGGAUGGGAUGAAAGCGCAUGUUCUCCCACAUCUGAGAUUUGCAGAAGGAGGAUGUAACUUCCCUGAGAUCACAAUAUACUGACACCCGGGGAGGCUGUUCAGAGCCAACUGCAUCCUAUCAGCUUCACCCAGCAAGACAGAUGUUCAUGUCUGUACCCCUUAAAGCUAUGCUUCCUUUGGCCAAUGCAACAUUAACUAAGAGGAUGCAAUGCAAACACGGGAAUGGAAAGUGCCUGUGCCUUGGACUUGCCCUCUCUUGCUACUUGGAACUCGGAGACCUCCAUGUGAAAGAGGGGACUGGUGUACUGGUUGAGAGGGCACAGCUGUCUCAGAUGAGGUCCCAAAUGUGCAUGAGGCCAUCCUAGACCAUUCAGCCCCAGGUCUCUUUGAUGAAAAUGUGCUGCAGAGGUGGCUUUAAUGGACCACUGGGCGUACCCCCUUGGAUGCUAGUGGAUGUGUCCAGCUGAAGUCACAAAGCCCUGAAAUACAUUCCCGCUCUGCUUAUAACUCAUCCCACCAUAAACCAGAUCUCCCUUGGCUGGGACAAUUUUUUAAGAUUUGAAUAUGGAAACAGUUCGUCUGAAACUCCCUGGUUAAUAAGCAAUCAUUCUUAAAUACUAAGAGGUCACAUUCAUAUUAAGGAACAAAUACACUUCUGUUUCCAUGGCCUCUAAUAGGUAAUUUGCAAAAAUCCCUAAUUUUGAGCGCCACUCAAGUCAUGCUAGGUCCUUAAAUUAACCAUCUCUGAACAAGUGAAAGGAUGGCCUCAUUCAGAAUCUCCCUACCAUAAUUAUUCAGUGUUAGCAAGACUUUACUUAGUAGAACAGAAACUGGGUGCUAGUAUAACUUUUUAUUUGCUAGAGCUCCCACCUCCUGCCCUAACAAAACCUUGUUUUCUCAUUCACUUUUUUUUUUUGGU